GUGUCUCAGGCCAGAUUUGGACCUCAGGAAGGGGAGUUUUCCUGACUCCAAGCCCUGCACUGUGCACUAUGGUGCCCUCUAGCACCCCAUAAGUUCAUCAUCUGUCAGACCUGAUGUGACUCCUUUACGUCCCCUACUACAGUGGUCACCUAUUAACAUCUAGGGUUACAGACAAACUCUUUAAGGCUUUAAAACCCUUCACCACCUCAUUGGCCAUUACUGACCCUCCAGCACGUGGCAUGAUGAGAAGAAGAUACACUUCUAUGAUAAAAUGAAGGAUUGAGCAUUCUGAUUCCAGGGUAAGAAGCCAUUAUUCCUCCCGCCUUUCACUGGAAAGAUGCAGUCAGUCAGUCAACAUCCACAAGAACCCUGCUACAG